GAUUAACGCUAGCGGCAGGCCUAAUACAUGCAAGUCGAGGGGCAGCGGGUGUAGCGAUACAUGCCGGCGACCGGCGCACGGGUGAGUAAUAUAUAAGCAAUCUUCCUUUAACCGGGGAAUAGCUCGGAGAAAUCCGAAUUAAUACCGCAUAACAUCAUGAGACGGCAUCGCCUUAUGAUUAAACCUACGGGGGUUAUAGAUGAGCUUAUGUCCGAUUAGAUAGUGGCGGGGUAACGGCCCACCAAGUCUACGAUCGGUAGGGGGUCUGAGAGGACUAUCCCCCACACUGGUACUGAGACACGGACCAGACUCCUACGGGAGGCAGCAGUAAGGAAUAUUGGACAAUGGGGGCAACCCUGAUCCAGCCAUGCCGCGUGCAGGAUGACGGCGUUAUGCGUU
rnacentral:rRNA from 1 species